rnacentral:tRNA from 1 species
CCCGAAGCGGAGCUGCAGAAACAAGGGUCAGAUCCAUUUAUUGGGCCCCUACUUUGCACUCGGGCACAGUCCUGGACCCUCAUCGGGCCUGCCAGGGUUUCUCCGCACAGUUUACCACACCCCCAGGGUCUCUCAGUCCAGCUGCUGGAAAGGGUUUUCGAGCUUGUGGUCCAGGCCCGGAGCUCAGAUUACUCCCAGCAAAGCGGAGAAAGCGGGAAAGCCUGCGUGCGGAGGCGUGGCGCUGUUGUCCCCCACCUGGCAGCAGACGCGUGGGGCUCAGAUCCCAGCAUCCGGGAGCAGCCCGAGGGCGGGGAGGGGCUCCUGCACCCACACUGUCACCCACACCUGCACCGGCUCCCGAACCAACACUCUCAUCUGCACCCGUACAGGCACCUGCACCCGCACCAACACUCUCACCUGCACCCGCACCCUCAUCUGCACCCGUACAGGCACCCGCACCUGCACCCGCACAGGCAUCCGCACCAACACUCUCACCUGCACAGACACCCGCACUGUUACUUACACCUGCACCCUCACCCGCACAGGUACUUACACCUACACCCGCACAGGCACCCGCACCUGCACAGGUGGGCGCAGGCACUUUCGGAGCCCAACAAACUCCCCGGCGCGUGCGAGCACUAUUGGGGAGGAAGAGGCCGCGCCACGGAACUGAGGUGUUUUGUACGUUGGUUGUUGUUCCUCCCUCUCCUGAAAAGAAAACCAGCAGCGCGCCCGGAGGCUGGGACCGGGCCGGGGGCUCGGGACGCCGCGCUCCGGCCGGCCGGCGCCCCAGCCGCGUUUACAAGAACAGCUCCUCUCCUCCCGCCGGCUUCCUCUCCCGGCCACAGGUGGCUCUCUGCUCUUCCAGCUGCUGCGGGCACCUCUGACGUCAGCGCUGCCUCCGGCACAAGCGUGUGCGUCACAGAAGCGCCCGGCCUGGACAUCUACUUCAGUAGAAAAUCUCUCCCCUUCCGCAGGGUGUCAGGAUGGCCGAGUGGUCUAAGGCGCCAGACUCAAGCUCUGCUUCCCCGCGCUGGGGAUUCUGGUCUCCGAAUGGAGGCGUGGGUUCGAAUCCCACUUCUGACACAUCCUUUUUCUCCUCCUGCAAUUUUCUACGCAACGGUAUCGACUUGA